rnacentral:rRNA from 1 species
AUUGAACGCUGGCGGCAGGCUUAACACAUGCAAGUCGAGCGGAGACUUCGGUCUUAGCGGCGAACGGGUGAGGAAUGCCUGGGAAUCUGCCUAUUAGUGGGGGAUAACGUUCCGAAAGGAACGCUAAUACCGCAUACGUCCUACGGGAGAAAGCAGGGGACCUUCGGGCCUUGCGCUAAUAGAUGAGCCCAGGUCGGAUUAGCUAGUUGGUGGGGUAAAGGCUCACCAAGGCGACGAUCCGUAGCUGGUCUGAGAGGAUGAUCAGCCACACUGGAACUGAGACACGGUCAAGACUCCUACGGGAGGCAGCAGUGGGGAAUAUUGGACAAUGGGCGAAAGCCUGAUCCAGCCAUGCCGAGUGUGUGAAGAAGGCCUUCGGGUUGUAAAGCACUUUAAGCGGGGAGGAAGUACUUGGGGCUAAUAUCCCUGAGUGUUGACGUUACCCGCAGAAUAAGCACCGGCUAACUACGUGCCAGCCGCCGCAGUAAGAC